AAACUUUCAACAACGGAUCUCUUGGCUCUGGCAUCGAUGAAGAACGCAGCGAAAUGCGAUACGUAAUGUGAAUUGCAGAAUUCAGCGAACCAUCGAAUCUUUGAACGCACAUUGCGCCCGCCAGCAUUCUGGCCAUGCCUGUCCGAGCGUCAUA
rnacentral:rRNA from 1 species